AAUGAACGCUGGCGGCGUGCCUAACACAUGCAAGUCGGAUGUGCCGCAAGGUGCAUGGCAGACGGGUGAGUAACGCGUGGGGAACCUACCUCUUCGUGGGGAAUAACGAUCCGAAAGGAUUGUUAAUACCGCAUGAGACCGACGGCUGGGAUGCUGUCGGUGAAAGCUGGGGACCGGAAACGGCCUGGCGCGAGGAGAGGGUCCUGCGUCUGAUUAGCUAGUUGGUGGGGUAACGGCCUACCAAGGCGACGAUCCGUAGCUGGUCUGAGAGGAUGAUCAGCCAGACUGGGACUGAGACACGGCCCAGACUCCUACGGGAGGCAGCAGUAAGGAAUCUUCCACAAUGGGCGAAAGCCUGAUGGAGCAACGCCGCGUGCAGGAUGAAGGCCCUCGGGUCGUAAACUGCUUUUAUAAGUGAAGAAUAUGACGGUAACUUAUGAAUAAGGAUCGGCUAACUACGUGCCAGCAGCCGCGGUAAU
rnacentral:rRNA from 1 species